UACGGGGGGAGCAAGCGUUGUUCGGAUUUACUGGGCGUAAAGGGCGCGUAGGCGGCCACCGCAAGUCAGUUGUGAAAUCUCUGGGCUUAACCCAGAACGGUCAGCUGAUACUGCGGGGCUAGAGUGCAGAAGGGGCAACUGGAAUUCUCGGUGUAGCGGUGAAAUGCGUAGAUAUCGGGAGGAACACCAGUGGCGAAGGCGGCUCGCUGGGCCGGUCCUGACACUGAGACGCGAAGGCGUGGGGAGCGAACGGG
rnacentral:rRNA from 1 species